rnacentral:rRNA from 1 species
GAUGAACGCUGGCGGCGUGCCUAAUACAUGCAAGUCGAGCGAACAGACGAGGAGCUUGCUCCUCUGACGUUAGCGGCGGACGGGUGAGUAACACGUGGAUAACCUACCUAUAAGACUGGGAUAACUUCGGGAAACCGGAGCUAAUACCGGAUAAUAUAUUGAACCGCAUGGUUCAAUAGUGAAAGACGGUUUUGCUGUCACUUAUAGAUGGAUCCGCGCCGCAUUAGCUAGUUGGUAAGGUAACGGCUUACCAAGGCAACGAUGCGUAGCCGACCUGAGAGGGUGAGAGGGCCAAAUGGGAAUGAGACAAGGGGCAAACACCCAAGGGAGGGGAAAGGAGGGGAACUUUCCAAAAAGGGGAAAGCCUGAAGGAGAAAAGCCGCGUGAGUGAGGAAGGGCUUCGGAUAGGAAAAAACUGUUAUUAGGGAAGAACAAAUGUGUAAGUAACUAUGCACGUCUUGACGGUACCUAAUCAGAAAGCCACGGCUAACUACGUG